rnacentral:rRNA from 1 species
AGAGUUUGAUCAUGGCUCAGGAUGAACGCUGGCGGCGUGCCUAAUACAUGCAAGUCGAACGAGAUCUUCGGAUCUAGUGGCGAACGGGUGAGUAACACGUUGGUACCUACCCCGAAGUGGGGAAUAACUGCCCGAAAGGGUGGCUAAUACCGCAUAAUACCGCAAGGUUAAAGCAGUAAUGCGCUUCGGGAGGGGCCUGCGUCCCAUUAGCUUGUUGGUGAGGUAAUUGCUCACCAAGGCGACGAUGGGUAGCUGGAUCGAGAGGUUGACCAGCCACACUGGGACUGAGAUACGGCCCAGACUCCUACGGGAGGCAGCAGUAAGGAAUCUUCCACAAUGGACGAAAGUCUGAUGGAGCAACGCCGCGUGCAGGAUGACGGUCUUCGGAUUGUAAACUGCUUUUAUAUGGGAAGAUUAUGACGGUACCAUAUGAAUAAGCACCGGCUAACUACGUGCCAGCAGCCGCGGUAAUACGUAGGGUGCAAGCGUUAUCCGGAAUCACUGGGCGUAAAGCGUGCGUAGGUGGCGCAUUAAGUGAGAUGUUAAAUCGUGUGGCUCAACCAUAUCGAUGCAUCUCAUACUGGUGUGCUAGAGGACGGCAGAGGCAAGUGGAAUUGGUAGUGUAGCAGUGAAAUGCGUAGAUAUUACCAGGAACACCAAUGGCGAAGGCGCUUGCUGGGCCACUCCUGACACUGAGGUACGAAAGCGUGGGGAGCGAACAGGAUUAGAUACCCUAGUAGUCC